GUUUGAUCCUGGCUCAGAACGAACGCUGGCGGCGUGCCUAACACAUGCAAGUCCAACGUGAAAGGGGAGCAAUCCCCCGGUAGGGUGGCAAACGGGUGAGUAAUACAUGGGUGAUCUACCUUAGGGAUGGGGAUAUCCUUCCGAAAGGAGGGGCAAUACCGAAUAUUGUCCGGAGCCGUGAAGGGUUCCGGGGAAAGGGAGGCCUCUGAUACAAGCUUUCGCCUUAAGAUGAGCCCAUGGCCCAUCAGCUAGUGGUAGGUAAAGCCUACCAAGGCUACGACGGGUCGCUGGUCUGAGAGGACGACCAGCCACACUGGCACUGAGAUACGGGCCAGACUCCUACGGGAGGCAGCAGUGAGGAAUAUUGCGCAAUGGGGGAAACCCUGACGCAGCAACGCCGCGUGUGGGAAGAAGG
rnacentral:rRNA from 1 species